GACGAACGCUGGCGGCGUGCUUAACACAUGCAAGUCGAACGGAAAGGCCCUGCUUUUGUGGGGUGCUCGAGUGGCGAACGGGUGAGUAACACGUGAGUAACCUGCCCUUGACUUUGGGAUAACUUCAGGAAACUGGAGCUAAUACCGGAUAGGAGCUCCUGCUGCAUGGUGGGGGUUGGAAAGUUUCGGCGGUUGGGGAUGGACUCGCGGCUUAUCAGCUUGUUGGUGGGGUAGUGGCUUACCAAGGCUUUGACGGGUAGCCGGCCUGAGAGGGUGACCGGCCACAUUGGGACUGAGAUACGGCCCAGACUCCUACGGGAGGCAGCAGUGGGGAAUAUUGCACAAUGGGCGGAAGCCUGAUGCAGCAACGCCGCGUGCGGGAUAACGGCCUUCGGGUUGUAAACCGCUUUCGCCUGUGACGAAGCGUGAGUGACGGUAAUGGGUAAAGAAGCACCGGCUAACUACGUG
rnacentral:rRNA from 1 species